GGCAGUGAGCCAGACCAGCUGGCUUGCAUCUUCUGUUUGGCUAAACCGGUUCCUCCCGUGCUCGGUUAGCACCGUCCCAGGAAUGGGGGCAGGAGGGUGUUCUCCCAGGAGGCUAGGGCUUCCGAGGGACGGCACGAGACACCCCAGAGCUGUGCCGGUCGGAGUUUCUCGUCCCCCCACCUGCUUCCCCUCAGACACGGAGGUGGCCUCCCUCACAGACAGGCCGACCGUGAUGCCAGGUUGGAGCCCCUGGUGCCCCCAGGUGCCCCCUGCCUUCCCUUCCUCCCCCCAGCCACGGCUGAGACCUCACCGACGUGCCCCUGGGACAGCAUGAUGCCUUUGUUACCCAGUCUAAGCUCUGGCCGCCUGCCGCACGACAGGCCAGGCAGGAGGGGUUGAGGUCGGGAGCUGAGAGCGGACCUCAGACCUCGGGACGUCGGCCAGGGUGUGAGGAGGGCGGUCAGGUGACUCCAGGCAUUUUGCUGACGUGGGUCUGGCCACAAUGUUCCCGGAAGUGCCUGACGGUCCCGUCUUCAUUUCUGUCCGUGCGUCCUCGUCUCCUCGGGCAGCCCACCUGCAGGGCCGCAGGGCGGAGCAGAAGCAGAAGAUUAAGCGGCAGAGGAGACGGACAGUGUGAAGGCAGAGAUGCCGGCGUUUCCACUUGGUCACACCUCCUUCUCCCAGAUGAGAGACUCUCCUGGAGCUCUUGAGUGGGUGCACCUCUGGCCGAGGCACGAAGGGCCCUUUGCUGGUGGCCCCAAUUCUGUGCCUCAGGCGUCCCAGGCGCUGCUUCCUCAAAGUCCCACACCCCAGGGCCUUACUGCCGCUGUGCCUCUGUCUGGAAGGUUCUUCCAUGACCCCUACUCUCUGUCUGCUAAAAACUAACAUGCUUUCCUGGUUCACCCAAACGGUGCCCCCACCUGGCCAGUGUCUGACCCCGACCCUGGGCCUCUGCUGUUGUUCAUGCGCUGGACUCCUGGACGGGCUGUGGAGGUCCCCAGGGGCAGGGCCAACGUCAUGGCCACCUCUUUAUGCCCAGUGCCCAGCAAGUGACUUACCUGCUCUGUGGCUCAGUUUCUACUCCUGCAAAAUGGGUUAAUAACAGGACUUAUGUCAUAGGGCUGCCAGGGGGACAAAAUGAGUUAACGUCCGUAAUGCAAGCAGCCCCUGGCACAGUGUGGGUGAGGGUCAGGGCCUGUGUCAGCUCCCCGGGGCCUCUGCACAGAACACACAGCUGGGUGGGCGUGGAGACCCGUCUCCCCGCAGUCUGGAGGCGGGAAGUCCGAGAUGAAGGUGCGGGCAGGCUGGUUCUCUGAGCCUCUCUCCUUGGCACGUGGACGGCCGUCUCCUCACGUGGUUGUCUCUGCGCAUGUCUGUGUCCUAAUCUCUUACUAUAGGGACCCCAGUCAGAUUGGAUCAGGGCCCACCUGAUGACCUCAUUCGAUCUUCAUCACCUCUUUAAAGACCCAGUCUCUGAUUACAGCCCCAUUCUGAAGACCUGGGCAUUAGGACUUCAACACGUGGGUGUGGGUGGGGACACAGCUCAGCCUAUCACAGGUCCUCACUGAUAUUUGUGCGGUGAAUGAAUGGAAUUAUGCAAACGAGAUGCUUCCUUUCUGCUCAGGAAAUCACAGUUGCCUCAAAGAGCUGGUCCCUGUUACAUAUUCAGGGAGAGUUGCAAAUCUUCCUGUAUAGGAGUCUUUAUGCACGCUGUUUCCCACCGGUGAGCCUGUGUGUGCCUGUGCAGGGCACCUCCUUUUGAGGAGAGAAACCUCCGUAAGAGAGGUGACUCCACAGCAAGCCAGGAGCAGAAGGGAUGGGAAAGCAUUUAUUCCCUUGAGAAUUUGGUUUCUGGGCCCUGAGCUCCGUCCCCACCUGGGAUUCGAAUGGGAAAGCAGGAAGGGGGCUUGUCAGUGCAAACCCUUGGAUUUUCACUUUUGUCAAUGGAAGACUCCCGGCCCUUGGGAUUGCGGAGGUGGAGAACCUGUGGCUCCGCUGCCGCCGUCCCGGCUGUCGUCGCAACACGGUUAGCACUAGGCUUGGGGGCCUCGGACCUCACUCCCCGCUCCUCCCUGACAUUUGUCAGUCGUUUGACCUUGACAAAGCCCUUCACUGCUCUGGCUCCAUUUUGCCUGCUGGGAGGGAUGCUUGCUUCCCGAGAUGAUGAGGGGUGGUUGAAAGGAGAUCUGCAUGAAGGACCAAGCUGGAGUUCACAUGAGAGUGCAAGCCCCCUGCGGACACUGCCCCAGGCCUUCCUCAGGGCCUGGCACACAGUGGGGGCUCAACAAUGGGACACAGGUCUGCAGACAGAUUUCCUGAUGUCCUGAGCCCGUAAGGAGGGCGUUUUCUCAUCCCAAGCAUCCCCUUUGUUUGGCCUGAAUUCUGUCCUCUCAUCUCAAGGCUGUUUGGCCUCAGCACCAGGUGGCUUUAUUCCAGAAAGGACAUGAGCCAGACCUGGAGGCAGAGACCCAGCCAAGGUGGAGAAGGAACAACACAGUCUGUCCCCAAGUGGCCUUCAGCCAGGGAGCUGUGUGCCCCAGUGGCCUCACAAGUUGGCAGGUGUGGGCCUUGGGCAGGGGGCCUGACUGCGCCAAAUGCGUUUUGUAUCUCCCCCUGACUUGGCUUGGCUUUCUCGGCUGGGGCGAGGGCAGGAAGGGAACUAGAAGGCCCUUGUGUUGCAGUUUUGAGCUGACACAGCUGUGUGCUGGGCCACUGCAGGGGUCAGCUGGGCUGCGAGGGGCCUGGGCUCCAGGGUGGGGUCCUCCCCACCACGAGCCCCGAGAGGUUACAGGGAUGAGGGUUUCUGGCCUGCAGGUGGGGUGGGGGCAGUGUCUUGGUGAAGGAUAAACCCCAAAACAAAUCUGCCCAUGGGUUAGGUGGAGGGAUGCCCUACUCCCCUCAGGGCACCACGGGUGGGGCAGAGAAAACCGGGGGGAAGGAGGUGCAUUCCAGGAAGGGAGGGGAGACCCCAGCCAGUGUGAAGGCACAGGCCCCACAGACGCUUGGCUGGGGCAGGCAUGCGGGGCUGAGGGCGGCAGGGCUGGCAGGGCAGUGUGCGGCCCGAGGGUGGGCAGCUGUGGGCCGCAGGCGGGGGCACGGCGCUCCGGAUACUGUGAGACCCCGCGUGUCCUCGAGCAAGGGAAGGCCGCACCCAGCGGUGUGGCUGUAGGGCCAGUCUUACGCGGUAGCCUGGCGAUUUUCUGGCUGUGCCCCUCAGCCCUUGGGGGACCCUGAGCUGAGGAGGUGUGGGGGAGCCAGCUGAAGUCCUGCCUCCCUCCUGUCCUCUUUGUCCCCCACCUCCCCCAAGCCAAUUUGCUCACUGUAACCUGUUUUGUUUCUGAUACAUGGGCUUCUGGGGUUUUAUUUUGGACAAAGGGUUCUGCUGCCUAAAACUUACUGAAACCCUUGGAAAGGGAGACUGAUGUGGUCUGAUUGAAUCCCCAUUUAUCCAUUCGUUAGAUGCGACCUGAGCGUCUUCCCUCCAAGGCCUGUGCCGGGCAACGCUGGGGGCUCAGCCCAGCCCAAACAAGCCCUGCCUGCGGGGCGGCCGCCCAGGGCUCAGGGCUGGGCCAGGGCGAGCCCAGGCUCUGUGAGGGCGGCAGGGGGUCUUGGCCAGGAGGCUUCUUGGUGGGGGUGAAACUCACCCAAAGCCCUAAAGGAUGGGCAGAACUUGGCCUUGGGGCCAGGAGGGAAAGGUACGACCCCCAGCCCUGUGGUUCUCCGCCUGGGUGCUCAGUGAGUCUGGGGGGACUCUGAGCAGCCUACAGGGGUGGGGUGCCCCACCUGCCAGCUUGCGGAAUCCUGGGCUGGUUCCGUGGACACUGGGCAGCGGCAUCUCGGGGCCCCCAGGCUGUGUGCUGAGCCCAGGAAGUCUUGUUCCCAUCAUGCCUCCUCCUGCAGCUCCGAGGUAGGUGAGGGAUGGUGAUGCCCAUUCGUGCCAGGCCCUCACAAGGCGGGACGCUUGGCGUCGCUCGCCCAACUCUGAGAUAGAGACAGACCCUCAAGGGACCGUGUCCUCUCAAGCUCAGGAGAGGAAGGGCCACCGCAAGGGCCACCCAUUCCACCCCCACCUGGCCAGCCUGGAGCUCCCACCCCUCCCCGGGCAUGAGGCUACCAGGCCACGUUGUCAGGCCUGGCUCUCCUACUGGUCCCAUACCACAGGCUGGCAUCAGGGCCCCCGCUGUCAUACCCUCAGCCUUGUGUCCCAGCGCAGGGCUGUCCCAGAGGCAACCUGACAGACCCUUCUCAUGCGGGCCCUUCCUGGGGCGUGAGAUGGCUCUCCGACUGGGGACGCCCGCUGGGAGUCCUGCGGCUGCCCCUCCGUGCUCCGGAAGCCCCCCGCUGCACCACUGGCACCAGGACCUCUCUUCACAUGAGGCUGAACAGUUGCCUCCACGGGGUGUCUUCGGGGAAGGUCCAUCACACGGACAGUGUGUGUUUUAGGCUGAGUUCUCGAACCUCACCUUCUCUUCUGUAGUUGCGGGCCCAUAGGAAGCCCAGCAUUGUCACAGACACGCAGACACGCGGACACUCGCUCAUGAGCUGGCGGGCCAGUGCCCUUGGAACUGCGCACUUUGCUGCCCUGGCUCUGUCCUCGGUCCCCUGGGGGGGCCAGUCUACACAAUGUCCUGGUAAAGUCCCGCCAGCUUCCCAUUCCCUGCCAGCUUUCACUUCCAUGUGCAGCCACAUGGGUGAAGACUUACUUGCUUCCCACACACCUGCUUUCGGUCAGCAACACACGCAGGGCAGCUGCCCUGGCAGGUCUGAGCUGGAAGUCCGAGGUCUGUAGGCCAGAGGUGGUCCUGCAGAUUUAGGCCCGGGCUCCCCAUCCGGACUGCAUCGCCGCUGGGGGUUGGUCACUGUGCCCAGCUGGGGCUGAAGCACGUGCUUCAGGGUUCGCCGGGGCCGCUCAACAGAAACGUUCCGUGCCAGUAGCCACAGGCCCCCCUACGUGUGUCACCUUCCAGUGCAUGUCACUGCACUCUCCAGUUCGGCUCUACUGCCACCUUCAAUGGGAAAUGCAGCCGUGGGAGGCCAGCCAUUAGAUUUCAAGGGCUGUUGCAAAGCCCUUUGUGCCCCUGGCCUGCAGUGUGAGGACAGUGGGGGCCGCUCCUGUCUGGCCCCCAUGCCGGCCCCCACUUCAGGCUCAUUCAUAAGUCAGCCUUGUUCUCCAAUGCCCCUGACAUUCAAUCAUUCAUUCAUUCAACACACAUCUUGGUGGGUCUGCUGUGUUCCAGGCACUGUGCCGUGCACUGGGACCAAAUAGGGCAUGUGGUUGUCAUCCCCAUUUUACAGGAGGGGAAACCGAGGCUCGGAGAGGCUCCCUCACUGUCCAGGGUGUGGAAGGAGAGGCCUGCUGGCUCUGCCCCUGCUCUCAGCUGUACCGAGCUGCAUGCACACCCUUCCUCAGAAAGCUGCUCGCCCUCCCCUUCCAGCCGCGUGGCCACACGUCCUCCUUGGGCUCCUCACGGCCGCCGUCACGGUGACACUGGUCUGGAUCGUGUUCAUGUUUGGGUCCUGCCUCCCCCGUCACCCAGUGGAGUCCGGUUACCCUCGGGCCCCCCGAUGUAGUGAGACAGCCUGAGCACUUAAUGCCCUGAAGUCUGCUCUGCCAGGACCCACCCGGGCACCAACCAGCAGACCGCAGUCUGUGGCCAGCGCAGCCGUGAGGCCCUCACGCACACGUCUGCAUGAGGAUGCCAGCCCCACCCUUCAGAGCUGCCAGGGUGGGAGGGCAGCCUCAGGUCGCAGCAUACACUUCACAUAAAGGGCCCAACUGAUACUGCAUCACACGCAACCUCAAAAGCGUUUUCCCCUUGACUUUAGCCCCGUCAUGCCCAUGCUCAGAGCCACCUCGCAGUGACCCGGGCAGCUCAGACCCCAUGGUGGGUUUCCUUGUCCUUGGGAACAGUGGCAGGCUUGUUAGCAUUACAGGCGGAGGCUGUGUAGUCGAGUUUGGCAAGAUUCAUUUCUUUUGAGUGGGAAUUUGGUGGGGAUGGUCAGGCGGCCUGGCGGAUGUCUGGAUCUGUGGAGAACCCCGACGCGCUCCCCAGUCCUGGUCCAGCCUGAUGUCGCGUUUGGACGUCUGCAGCCUCCGCCCCUGUGAACUCGCUUUUGCCUUCCUGGGGCCUGGGCAGCUCAUUCAGUGUCCACGGCUACAUUAGUUAUCUAAACCUUUCACGGUACCAUGCUUGAGAAAAGGUGCCACAUUCUGUUGGGGAUUCUGCGUCUCUCCCCUCUGCCCUUCCGUGCCCUCCGCUGCGGGCCGUGCCCUGGCUGCUGUGGGUCUAGCUGGCGGGGGCCUUCCUGAAGACGCCCUGCCAGAAAUGUCAAGAACAAUUAGAAGGGGGUGUCAUGCCUCAGGUAGUGGAGAGUCAGCCGCUGGUGCCAGUCUUUCUCCAAAUGAAAUUAUUCCUCAUUUCCUGGUCCUUAAUAAAAUAAUUACUGCCUUUGUUUUCUUCGCACCGUAAAGGAUUUUCUUUAAUGU